rnacentral:lncRNA from 1 species
GACACACAUUUACUUCUUAUUUUACUUAAAAAACUACACUAAAAAAAGUUUUUGGUAAAUAUUUUGACUUAAAGCGUCGAUUCUUGUCGACAACAUUUGGUUUUUUUAGGUAAAAGAAACGUUGUUUUGCUAUUGUUUUUAAACUGGAACUUAAAGAUAGUUAAAACGGCGCCUCUUUAACUAAAAAAAAACGAUUUUGAAUAGAAUCUGCACGGAUUUAACUUUAAAAAAGCAAGUUGUGUGACAAGAAACGACGCUUCAAGUCAAAAUAAUAUCCCAUGUAUUUUUUUCCGGUUGUACCUAUAAGGGAGUUCUUUUACGUAAAUUUUUUUUUUUUUUUUUUUUAAGAAAAAAUUGUCUGUUUAAAAAUUACUCUCUAUGAUCCAGUAUUUUUUUAAAGUAGUGUUUUUAACAUUCAAUGCUACAGGGGAUCUCGUCCGCGCGAAGAUGGCCUGAGCAGGCCUCCUUCAUUAAUCAGCAUCUCGCAUUGAAUAUCAAAGGGGGCCGCUAAGUGAUAGGCGGAUCUCCCUCGGACGUGCCGGUUGCCUACUCGCGACGCGGAAGGCGCCGAUUAGUCGCGGGAGGAGGCUGCCAAAUCGUGUGCCUUUAGGAUCGAUCGACUUGGACGGACAACGUCGUACGAUCCGAUCGGAUCGCAUCGCGCCGGAGACCGUUGUGGUUCCGACUCAUUUUCGGUCUCACAAUCCGUGACCCCCCUGGGCCCCGGGCGGUCGCGCGCCAAUUCCCUCGCCCACCCCCUCCUCCCACGGGAAAGUCGAGCUAAUUAACGCUUUCCGAUUAUUCUGAUGCUGCCGGAUUGAUUAGUUGACACUUGCUGCUCUGUAAUUAAUAGGACUGAUAGGAAAAGCGAAGAGAGUGAAAAUAGGCAUAUGAAUACGUCUACGUCAGAAUCUAGAAAUAGUAAAAAAAAAAGAAAGAAAGAAAAGAGUUUCUUGUGAAGAGAACCCUUUCUGAUUACUGCAGUCCACAGCAAAAACGCAGUAAACUAUAUUACAAA